AGCCGAUUUUGAAAAUUCUUUCACUUCUUUAGAUGAUUAUAAAAUCCCAGCAGAUGGAAUUAACAUCAAACAACGUUGCCUUUCCCUUUAAAUAUUUUGUAUUUUUCCUAUCAGAUACUUCUUGAAAUUAACAAUGCGUUAUAGUUAACGCAGAUGUGCAUUUCUGAGAAAGUCGAUACAUCCAAGUGUUUUCUCUUAAUGCUUGAUCAGUAAAUAAGUAGUGAGUAAGUUUUCAACAAUAUGUCUAUAAUAGAAUGCAUAUAAUUGGAAUAUAUGUAGUGUUAUGAGUACUGUAUAUGUUUAAGCAAGAUAUUUUAAAUGUACACAAUGGAUGAUUGUACAUCUGAUUCAGUGAAACGGUACUGCGUAUGGUCAGUUAGAUAUGGUAUUCUGAUUUUCAUUUCUUCAUUCAUUGUAUUAAAGUGUAUAAGCGAAGGAAAUAUAUCUGUGUUAUACAGACCUUUCAGUGAAUCAAUUAUACGUGUGUUCGGAUAUAAAGACGAUGAAAACAACAAUGGUGUAUACGGUAACACAUAUCAUGACAAUAAUAAUGAAGUCCUAAAUUUAGCAAGAAAAAUCAAUUCAUAUAAUAAGACAGUUUUAGUUAGUGUAGUAAAUGACGCAUAUUUACCCUUUGCUUAUAGCUGGCUUUGUAAUACGAAAGGCAUGGGAGUUCAUAAAUCUGUAUUAGUAAUUACAACGGAUAAUACAUCUAAAAUUAAGCUUAAUAGAGACUGGCCUGAAGUGUCAGUCUUCCAUCUACAACUUGAUAUACCCAAAGGUGAUCAGGAAUAUAGUCAUGUCGGCUAUGUCAAAAUUAUGAUUCGUAGGACAGAAAUAAUUUUGUCUUUAUUACAGGCAAACAUUGACUUGCUUUUACUUGAAUUUGACUACGUUUUGUUUUCAAACCCAAUACCUGGCUUGCAAAAGCGAUCUGGUGUUGACAUGUUUGUGAAUCCAGUUUCUAAUACCGGAGGAACUAUUUUCAAUGGAGGACUACUUUAUCUUUUUGCAACAAACCGCACAAAAGUCCUAUGGACUAAGCUAACAGAAAUGACGUGGAAGCUUGAACGAGAUAUAAAGGAGAAACCAGAUAAAAAGGCAAUAUCCGAAAGGCAUAAUGACCAGACAUUCUUGUCGGAGUUAGUUCGUGAAAGGUAUGCAAACGUCAGUACAGAAUUACUAACGCUAGAUGUAUACGCUGAUGGUAAAUGGUACAGAAUGAGUAACGCCGAGAGGCAGAAAUUACAUCCUAUUGUUAUCAGCAACAACUUUAUAACAGGCAAACAUUGACUUGCUUUUACUUGAAUUUGACUACGUUUGGUUUUCAAACCCAAUACCUGGCUUGCAAAAGCGAUCUGGUGUUGACAUGUUGGUGAAUCCAGUUUCUAAUACCGGAGGAACUGUUUUCAAUGGAGGACUACUCUAUCUUUUUGCAACAGAUCGGACCAAAACCCUCUGGACUAAGCUAACAGAAAUGAUGUGGAAGCUUGAACGAGAAAUAAAGGAGAAACCAAAUAACAAGGCAAUUUCCGAAGGGCAAAAUGACCAGACAUUCCUAUCUAAGUUAAUUCGCGAAAGGUAUGCAAACAUCACUACACAAUUACUGACCCUAGAUGUAUACGCUGAUGGUAAAUGGUACAGUAUGAGUAACGCCCAGAGGCAGAAAUUACACCCUAUUGUUAUCAGUAACAACUGGAUAAUUGGAAACAAGAAUAAAAUCAACAGAGCAAAGGAAUGGAAUCAUUGGUUUUUACGUCCUGAUAAUACAUGUGAUAUGGAUACGGUUAAAAAGAUUGUUUACUCAGAAGUCUAGUAAAACGGUGUAGAUUAUGUCCGAUAUAUCUACGUUCUCCGUAUGCGCUCCGUUGAACGCUAAAGAAAGGGCACCAAAGCUACGACAUAGCAGCUUCAAACCUUGUUAAUAAAAGGAAAGGAAAUAAAAUAUGUUUUUCGCAGUCAUACAAAGCGAACGACAGAAUAAGACCGACAACUAUUAACUCAUUUUACAGCUUUGUCGAUCAUAUUCUGUCGUUCAUUUCGUAUGUACUCCGAAAUAACUUUAUUCAUUUUCUAACUGAGACGUCACGUUAAAAACGGUUGUCUUGGUUAUGACAUCAUAAAUUCAUUGAAUCCAUUACAAUUUCAAUGGACUAGCCUAUGUAUCAGUUUUCAUCGCCGUAAUGUCUGUCACUAUCAUAUCUAGUCCAAUAUCAAAACAUUGUAUGAUCUGAAAUACGAGUACUCAUGUGUUUUAUUACUCUUCUCAUUCCAUUGUUAACAUUUGUUCACAUAAACAGUGAUAUGAAAUCAACAAAAUACUUGAAGUUUUAUACAGAUGAUCUACGUUGUAAUAAUAAAUCAACAGACAUCGUAUAUGAACGUUUUAAAAGUAAAAGACCUGUAUUAAAAGUAAUAUGAGGUUA
rnacentral:misc_RNA from 1 species